rnacentral:rRNA from 1 species
GACGAACGCUGGCGGCGUGCUUAACACAUGCAAGUCGAACGGAAAGGCCCUGCUUUUGUGGGGUGCUCGAGUGGCGAACGGGUGAGUAACACGUGAGUAACCUGCCCUUGACUUUGGGAUAACUUCAGGAAACUGGGGCUAAUACCGGAUAGGAGCUCCUGCUGCAUGGUGGGGGUUGGAAAGUUUCGGCGGUUGGGGAUGGACUCGCGGCUUAUCAGCUUGUUGGUGGGGUAGUGGCUUACCAAGGCUUUGACGGGUAGCCGGCCUGAGAGGGUGACCGGCCACAUUGGGACUGAGAUACGGCCCAGACUCCUACGGGAGGCAGCAGUGGGGAAUAUUGCACAAUGGGCGGAAGUCUGAUGCAGCAACGCCGCGUGCGGGAUGACGGCCUUCGGGUUGUAAACCGCUUUCGCCUGUGACGAAGCGUGAGUGACGGUAAUGGGUAAAGAAGCACCGGCUAACUACGUGCCAGCAGCCGCGGUGAUACGUAGGGUGCGAGCGUUGUCCGGAUUUAUUGGGCGUAAAGGGCUCGUAGGUGGUUGAUCGCGUCGGAAGUGUAAUCUUGGGGCUUAACCCUGAGCGUGCUUUCGAUACGGGUUGACUUGAGGAAGGUAGGGGAGAAUGGAAUUCCUGGUGGAGCGGUGGAAUGCGCAGAUAUCAGGAGGAACACCAGUGGCGAAGGCGGUUCUCUGGGCCUUUCCUGACGCUGAGGAGCGAAAGCGUGGGGAGCGAACAGGCUUAGAUACCCUGGUAGUCCACGCUGUAAACGGUGGGUACUAGGUGUGGGGUCCAUUCCACGGGUUCCGUGCCGUAGCUAACGCUUUAAGUACCCCGCCUGGGGAGUACGGCCGCAAGGCUAAAACUCAAAGGAAUUGACGGGGCCCCGCACAAGCGGCGGAGCAUGCGGAUUAAUUCGAUGCAACGCGUAGAACCUUACCUGGGUUUGACAUGGAUCGGGAGUGCUCAGAGAUGGGUGUGCCUCUUUUGGGGUCGGUUCACAGGUGGUGCAUGGCUGUCGUCAGCUCGUGUCGUGAGAUGUUGGGUUAAGUCCCGCAACGAGCGCAACCCUUGUUCACUGUUGCCAGCACGUUAUGGUGGGGACUCAGUGGAGACCGCCGGGGUCAACUCGGAGGAAGGUGGGGAUGACGUCAAGUCAUCAUGCCCCUUAUGUCCAGGGCUUCACGCAUGCUACAAUGGCUGGUACAGAGAGUGGCGAGCCUGUGAGGGUGAGCGAAUCUCGGAAAGCCGGUCUCAGUUCGGAUUGGGGUCUGCAACUCGACCUCAUGAAGUCGGAGUCGCUAGUAAUCGCAGAUCAGCAACGCUGCGGUGAAUACGUUCCCGGGGCU